UAUCGCCAACUCUGUCGAGACCAGAUACAAGUAUAGAUCAGGCAACAGCUUCCAGUGCUUCAUCCGAUCAUAUCACUUCACCUGGUCCAACACCACCCCAGAUACCAGACAUAUCAUCUGGUCUAACAUCAUCUCAGACACCAGAAAUAUCAUCUUUUCUAACAUCAACUCAGACACCAGAAAUAUCAUCUUUUCUAACAUCAACUCAGAUACCGGAAAUAUCAUCUGGUCUAACAUCAACGCAGACACCAGAAAUAUCAUCUGGUCCAACAACAACUCUGGUACCAGAAAUAUCAUCUGGUCCAACACCAAAAACGUCAACCAGUCCAACAGAUAGUGGAGAACAACAAACUGAUCAUGAUAUAUUUGUAAUAGUUGGUUGUGCUGUUGGUGGACUGGUGUUGAUAUUAAUACUUGUAACUCUGUGUGUUGUAUUCAGAAUACGAAGAGACAAAGCCAAUGUCCAACGGCACAAUCUUGAUGUCCGUGAGGACAUUAACAAUACAGCUCCACAUUAUUUCGUACUGGAUGUUCCUGUCUUAAAUACGCAAGACCCGGAUGAUAAACAGGGUGAUACUAGUACCAAUCCAUCUCCCAUGACAACCAGAGAUAUACCAGAAUAUGCUGUUGUUAAUAAAAAUGGAAAACGAUUUAAUGUGGCUGGUGGGAAACAGGGGGAUAUUAGUACCAAUCCAUCUCCCAUGACAACCAGAGAUAUACCAGAAUAUGCUGUUGUUAAUAAAAAUGGAAAAAGAUUUAAUGUGGCUGGUGGGAAUCCACCUAAUCAAGUAACCAAGAGGGGGGACACUGAUGUGUCAGAUAUGGAAAUCCUAGAAAAUGAUUUGUAUGUUCCUUUUGAGUCAUCCAACAAUCCAGGUCCUGGUGGCGCUUCUUCAACCAAUGCUAAAGCAACAGAUCGGACAUCUGGAGAAAUGGAGAUUAUGGAAAAUGUUUUAUAUGUUCCUUUUGAGGACUCGGCUAUUAACGUUUCGAAACCUUUGAAAAAUGAAAUGAAAUAAAAGGAGUUUAAUGCCCUACUGUUCUUCUCCUACUGCGCUAAUGAAGAUGGACCUUUGAAAAGUGCUACGUAUGAUAGUGCAUCAAGAAUUGGGACUAAUCAAGAUUUUGCUACACCCGAGACGGAAAUCAUAGAAAACGGUUUAUAUUUUCCUUUAAAAGACACAUAUAACGGUGUAUAAGACAAAGAAUUCUCUGCUUUCGUUUAUAUCAAUUUUUAUUUUAUGCCAUAGUUUUUAAGAUGUUAAUUAAUCGUUAAAGAUAAAUUAUGUAAGAUUUAGAUAAAGGCUCGCCGUUCCUGUUAUAAUAGUUCAAAACACGGGGAGCAAAAAGCAACGAUUCCUGCUUUAAAUAUGUAUUAUGUAAGAUUUAGCUAAACAGUUGACCGUUCUUGCUAUAAUAGUUCCCAAAAUAGAUAAUAAAAAAAUGAUAUUUUUUGUGCGAAGGAAUGAGUGUUUUUGUUUUAACAAAAUUUAGCAUAGAUUGUUUAUUAUCAGAGCCAUCAGAUGGCCCAGGGUUGAUUAUGGGAUUAUUAUGUUAAUAAAUGUUAAUAAUAAUUUAUAUAAGAUUUGAAGCUAGAAAAAUACCUGCAAUAGGCCCAUUCAGCUCUUACAUAAUACAUCUUUA